rnacentral:rRNA from 1 species
UGGGGGAGUAUUGGGCAAUGGGCGCAAGCCUGACCCAGCAACGCCGCGUGAAGGAAGAAGGCUUUCGGUUGUAAACUUCUUUUGUCAGGGAAGAGCAGAAGACUGUACCUGACGAAUAAGCUCCGGCUAACUACGUGCCAGCAGCCGCGGUAAUACGUAGGGAGCGAGCGUUGUCCGGAUUUACUGGGUGUAAAGGGCGUGUAGGCGGGAUUGCAAGUCAGAUGUGAAAUUCCGGGGCUCAACCCCGGAACUGCAUUUGAAACUGUAGUUCUUGAGUACUGGAGAGGCAGGCGGAAUUCCUAGUGUAGCGGUGAAAUGCGUAGAUAUUAGGAGGAACACCAGUGGCGAAGGCGGCUUGCUGGACAGCAACUGACGCUG